CGCAUCCACCUCCAGUCUUCCCGUUUCCUUUUGCCAUUCACUAGCGCCGUCGCCAGCCUCCUCCUCCCCUCCACCCCCCACUCCCCCCACCCAUCUGGUCCCAAUCCCCAUGCACGUGCUGCGUGACCUCCUGGUCGUCGGCGAGCUCGGCAGCGCCGCCGUGGAGGUCACGGGCCCCACGUCUCUGUCCCCUUUGAAGCUCCGGUCCGUCACUGGUCAGAUUUUUCCGGUGUCCGCCCCGACUUCAGGUCACACUGGCCGGAGAACGCCACGAAGGAAAAGAUUCUGCUCGAGCUACAGUAGGAGGAUAGGAGGAAGGUGGGCCAGGCCAACCUCUGCUGAGCCCUGGUGCGGCAGGCCUUCGUCGAUGCCCAAGCUAAGAUUGCCGACAUCGUUUCUGCCAUGGGUGAGCCGCUGGUUCACGUCAGGCAGGUUAGUUACUAACUCACUAUUGCACAACUCUAUGAGAAAUCUAGCGCUGAGAGUUGAACCUUUUAUACAAUAAACUUAGGCAAUAAACUAAGUUGAAUCCAUGUCAGGGCAGGCAGGUUGGUCCUCUUUGAACAGUUUCUUUUUCAAGUAACACUAUUCUUGGAGAAAAGCAUGUGUUCAGCUGUUGAAACAAUUAAAUUAGGCAUAAAACAGAGUUAUCUGACGACCGUAAGUUCUGUUGUGUCAACAGAGUCAUCUUGCCUUAAUUUUUUAGGUACUCGGCCUAUGAUUCUGGUUGCAAAAGUAGGAUCCGCUUCGUGAGGCAUGUCGUGCUACUUGAUACAGUACUUAUGUUUUGCUCAUAAUGUCUAACUGUCUAUCAUAAAAUUCUCCCCAGUAGUACACCUUUCAUUUCCUGGAAGUUCUCUAUGUCAAGUAGUUAGAGACCCUACACUCGGUUUAAAGCAUGAACUAGCACUCCAUGUUCAUAACUACAGUUAACUCUGCCUGAAUUUUAUGUAACUAUUUCUGGCCAGCUUUUAGCUAGUGCUCUGGGAAAAAUUGCAAAUAAACAGAGUUUAAGCAGGUAUUUGUUGCAUCCAUGUCUGUAAGAAUAGAACCAGUAGAGAGUUGUCUAAGGCUUCAGCCCUAGAAGUGUAACUCAAUUGCACGGAGUAACCUUAAUCGAUGGAAAGUAGUCAAUAGGCCUGCCAAGCAAGGCUGUAAGGCGUAGCGCAUCCGGAAAGAUUUCCUCGAGUGAGCACUUUCUUUAUACCCAAUUGUAAAGGAGAGUGACGAGGACUAGGAUUACAGCAAUAAAACAGAAAGUCUCACGAAAAGCAACGUGGCAAUCAGAUUUGAUAUUAAUAUCUUCUACAAGAAGUUAAAUAUAGGCAAAAUUAUACAUCCUAAAGAGCUCUAAGCUCCCAAGGAUGUGAGCGCCUGUGGGCAUUCCUAACAUCCCUAUUGUGGAUCCCACUAGCAGCAAAGGUAAGGAUAGAGUUUGGCUUCCUUUUGUUUCCAUCUCUUUCCCCCGGAUUGUGAUCUUCAGUGAGCAUAAACGAUGGUAGCAGUAGAUAGGACCUAGCCAAGAAUAUUGGAAGGGACAUACACUUAAUAUAUUCUUUCAGCAUACACUGCAUCGUCGAUGAAUAGGCCCGGCCUGGUGGAGGCCGGUCAACCAUGUCCAACAGCAGAUCGUAUAAAGAGUCAACGUAAAGUCACCGGACAGCACCGGCAAUAUCGCCACCACUGCCCCGUUUGGCUCCCUUAUUUCCCCUUCACUCUCCUAACAUCUGCAUCUUUGUUCAUAAGGUCACCGUAUAGUUAUUCACGUAGAUAUCAUCUGAAAUAAUCAGUUAUAUGUAUGCUUGAAAGCUAUCAAAGCUAAUGCCUACUCACUUAUCUGUUUAUACGUUUUAUUUUCAUUAGUGAUUUUGUGAUAGUCAGUAGUUGAAACAAGACUGAGAUGUUUGCUCCACUAAUUAAGAUCAAAGUACAUGGUUUAAAACUUCAAAUGCUCGAAAUUUUUCUUAUAUACGAGGAGAUGGUUUAAACCUGCCAUUGGCGGUAUUCCAGCAUAUAUAAUUUCAUGGCGUUGAUUCAGCUUUUACCUGCAUUGCACCAAGUUGAACUUCGGUCUGAAGUUACAAAGAAACAUGUACCCUGACAUAAGCAAGUUUGUGUAAAUUAGAUCUUAUAGAGAAAUUCUUCGAUGUGGGUAUAAUUAACGCAUUGUUUUACUUCUGCAACAGCUAAAUUGUGUAGUUUGACAGAACAUAUAUGCUUAAUUAUAUCAUAUUGGCAUGUCCUGCAUAAGUUGCUGAAAUUUGUUUCUUCACAUGAACUUAGGUGUAUGAUAGCUCUGUUGAUUGCAAAGUUCUAUUUUAAUUAUAUCCAGCGAUUACAAAAUUGUAGUGCUCUGAAUGCGCUUCUUAAUAUAGGAUUAGCCACUAUGCUUUGUAUCACCUUAACUUCCAAUUCCUUACCUCCAAAAAAAAGGUAGUUCUUAUAGUGAUCAGUUGCUUUCAAGACAUUUGAAAUUCACUAGAUCUACACUAUCGUAUUUGUACAAUAAAAUAGCUUUUAUUGUGAAAUGAGUUAUCAACUAGGGUUCUUUAAUUUUUAAUCUCCGUUGUUUCUAUACAAAUACGUAUCAUAGUUUUUUUAUUCACGAAAAGGUCUGUUCAGCCACAAACAAAACUGUAUUAUAUUUGACAUACUUUAACUGCUACCAAAGUCUUAGAUUUUUGUUCUCACAGAAGUUGGUUGUUGUGCAUAUUUAAAUGCUAUUUUUUAUGAUUGUUUUCAUAGGUUAAGUGACUGCCUCCAGUUCUUUGGUCAUGGCCAUGGCUAAAAGGAGGGCUCACAGGGUUUAGAAACUUGCUUCUAGUGCACAUAGCUGGGCUGUCAGGUGGCACCACAACAAUAUUUUCAGCAAACCUUUUCUUUUUGCCUUUGCCCACCUUCACAACAGCAUUUGGGUCGGAUUUUAAUCUGCAUGUGGGCACCCGCCGCCGCGCCAUGGCCGCCCACCGCCGCGUCCUGCCCGCUCGACGCCGCACCAUGGCCGCCCGCCUCCGUGUCCUGGCCGCCCGACGCCGCGCCAUGGCUGCCCGCCUCCGCGUCAUGGCCGCCCGACGCCGUGGCAUGGCCGCUCGCAGCCGCGGCGAUUGGUGCGACACCCUCUGCUGCAACACGGCCCAUGGCCACCCUAACCUCCAGUCUCCGCCGCCAGGUCUAGGGUUCAGUCGCACGUGAGAGAGGAACUGGAUGGAGGGGUUUCAUGGACGCUACUGAAAUUUGGUCUUCUACACAGAGGGAUAUUUUAGUCUACACAUGAGGAAACUAACGGAAAAACGUGAUGGGAGUGACGGCAGUGUCAUAAGAGGCAAAAAUUUAAGGAAACAUGUCAUGUAGGGAAGAAAAUGUUGGCCAGUGUCAAAUAAGGCAUGUGAUUUUAAAGGAGUGUCAUAGAAGGAAUUUUCUCAUUUUGAUACCCUGCAAAGCAACUUUAGUUACUGCUGCCAUGGGAGUUUCCUAUUGUUGUUUCAAUACCAAUGAUUGUUGUGAGCUUGUCUAUUAUUAUCCAAAUUUGCAUACCA